CUCUCUGUCUCACUCUUUCUUCCUCUGUCUCUCUCUCACACACACACAUACAAAUACAUACACAGAUCAAAAUUGAACAUACGAUGUACCAGCUUGCUCUUUUGCCCUCCUGCCCACCUGUGUUUCACACAACCUCUGGAAACCACUCAGCGAGGGAAGCCUGCCGUAUCCCUGAAUGGAUUCUUUGGAUCUACUGGCUCUGGAAAAUCUGCACUUACCUGCCAACAGGACCAGAAGGUGA